rnacentral:rRNA from 1 species
GACGAACGCUGGCGGCGUGCUUAACACAUGCAAGUCGAACGAAGUGGCGAACGGGUGAGUAACGCGUAAUCAACCUGCCCUUCAGAGGGGGACAACAGUUGGAAACGACUGCUAAUCCCGCAUACUGAAGGAGGGGAUUGCGUCGGAUUAGCUAGUUGGAGGGGUAACGGCCCACCAAGGCGAUGAUCAGUAGCCGGGCUGGGAGGGUGGACGGCCAAAAUGGGACUGGGACACGGCCCAGACUCCUACGGGAGGCAGCAGUGGGGAAUCUUCCGCAAUGGACGAAAGGCUGACGGAGCAACGCCGCGUGAGUGAUGACGGCCUUCGGGUUGUAAAGCUCUGUUAAUCGGGACGCGGUACCGGAAUAGAAAGCCACGGCUAACUACGUGCCAGCAGCCGCGGUAAUUC